rnacentral:rRNA from 1 species
CCCAGACUCCUACGGGAGGCAGCAGUGGGGGAUAUUGCACAAUGGGGGGAACCCUGAUGCAGCGACGCCGCGUGGGUGAAGGAGCGUUUCGGCGCGUAAAGCCCUAUCGGCAGGGAAGAAGGAGGACGGUACCUGACUAAGAAGCCCCGGCUAACUACGUGCCAGCAGCCGCGGUAAUACGUAGGGGGCAAGCGUUAUCCGGAUUUACUGGGUGUAAAGGGAGCGUAGACGGCAGUGCAAGUCCGGAGUGAAAGCCCGGGGCUCAACCCUGGGACUGCUCUGGAAACUGUAAAGCUGGAGUGCGGGAGGGGCAGGCGGAAUUCCUGGUGUAGCGGUGAAAUGCGUAGAUAUACGGAGGAACACCAGUGGCGAAGGCGGCCUGCUGGACAUUAACUGACGCUGAGGCGCGAAAGCGUGGGGAGCAAACAGGAUUAGAUACCCCCGUAA